rnacentral:rRNA from 1 species
UGCGGAAGGAUCAUUAUUGAAUAAACUUUGAACAGGUUGUUGCUGGCCCUCCUUGGAGGGAUAUGUGCACGCCUUGUCAUAUUUAUUUUUCCAACUGUGCACAUUUUGUAGACCUGAUAUUUGAUGGAUUUAUUUUUCGAGUUGGGGACUGCUGUGCUUUCUCAAGUCGGCUUUCCCUUGUAUUUUUCAGGUCUAUGUCAUUUUACACAAACCUCCAAAGUCUGUUUAGAAUGUUGAAUCAGGUCAUUUUGUACCUAUAAAGUUAAAUAUACAACUUUCAGCAACGGAUCUCUUGGCUCUCGCAUCGAUGAAGAACGCAGUGAAAUGCGAUAAGUAAUGUGAAUUGCAGAAUUCAGUGAAUCAUCGAAUCUUUGAACGCAUCUUGCGCUCCUUGGUAUUCUGAGGAGCAUGCCUGUUUGAGUGUCAUCUAAAUUCUCAAACCACAUUGAAUUCUUUCAGUGUGGCUUGGAAGUGGGGGUUUAUUUUUGCAGGCUGGUUUUUACAUAAAAUGAAGUCUGCUCCCCUGAAAUGCAUUAGUGGUAUCUGAGCAGCGGGAACUACUACAGGUGUGAUAAUUUAUCUAUGCCCUUGGUAUGCUGCAUAAACGGAUUGUACUGCUUAUAACAAAACUUUAUUAUUUUGUUU